CCUACGGGAGGCAGCAGUGAGGAAUAUUGGUCAAUGGACGAGAGUCUGAACCAGCCAAGUAGCGUGAAGGAUGACUGCCCUAUGGGUUGUAAACUUCUUUUAUAAAGGAAUAAAACGAGGCACGUGUGCCUUUUUGCAUGUACUUUAUGAAUAAGGAUCGGCUAACUCCGUGCCAGCAGCCGCGGUAAUACGGAGGAUCCGAGCGUUAUCCGGAGUUAUUGGGUUUAAAGGGAGCGUAGAUGGGGUGUUAAGUCAGUUGUGAAAGUUUGCGGCUCAACCGUAAAAUUGCAAUUGAUACUGGCAGUCGUGAGUACAGUUGAGGUAGGCGGAAUUCGUGGUGUAGCGGUGAAAUGCUUAGAUAUCACGAAGAACCCCGAUUGCGAAGGCAGCUUACUAAACUGUGACUGACAUUGAUGCUCGAAAGUGUGGGUAUCAAACAGGAUUAGAUACCCCAGUAGUC
rnacentral:rRNA from 1 species